GACGAACGCUGGCGGCGUGCCUAAUACAUGCAAGUUGAGCGAUGAAGCUUGGUGCUUGCACCAAUUUGAAGAGCAGCGAACGGGUGAGUAACGCGUGGGGAAUCUGCCUUUGAGCGGGGGACAACAUUUGGAAACGAAUGCUAAUACCGCAUAACAACUUUAAACAUAAGUUUUAAGUUUGAAAGAUGCAAUUGCAUCACUCAAAGAUGAUCCCGCGUUGUAUUAGCUAGUUGGUGAGGUAAAGGCUCACCAAGGCGAUGAUACAUAGCCGACCUGAGAGGGGGAGAGGCAAGAUUGGGAAUGGGACAGGGACCAAAGUAAGGCGGGAGGAGGAAGGAGGGAAUGUUCGGGAAGGGAAGAAAUUCGGACAGAGCAGCGGCGAGGGAGGGAAGAAGGUUUUAGGAUCUAAAAAAUCUGUUGGUAGAGAAGACCGUUGGUGAGAGGGGAAAGCUCAUCAAGUGACGGUAACUACCGAGAAAGGGACGGCUAGCUACGU
rnacentral:rRNA from 1 species